GCUCCGCCCGCCAUCAAGGACCAACCCAUAAACCCUUUUUGGUAAUAGCCAAUCCAGCGUCAGGUAACAACGGUAAUUAAUUUACAACUUUCAACAACGGGAUCUCUUGGUUUCUGGCAUCGAUUGAAGAACGCAGCCGAAAUGCGAUACGUUAGUGUGAAUUGCAGAAUUCAGUUGAAUCAUCCGAAUCUUUUGAACGGCACAUUGCCGCCCUUUGGGUAUUCCAAAGGGCAUGCCCUGUUCGAAGCGUCAAUUUGUAACCCUCAAGCUUUGCUUGGUGGUUUUGGGGGGCCGGUUCUUUUGUCCUCCAGCUCGCUGGAAGACUCGCCUUAAAGUCAAUUGGCAAGCCGGCCUACUGGGUUUCCGGAGCGCAGCCACAAGUCGCCGCUCUUGCCCAGGCCAAGGUCAGCGUCCAAGCAAGCCCUUUUUUUCAACCUUUGACCUCGGAUCAGGGUAGGGGAUACCCGCCUGAACUUAAGCAUAUCAAUAA
rnacentral:misc_RNA from 1 species